rnacentral:tRNA from 1 species
GGCACUAUCGUCUAACAGGUUAGGACGCGACCCUUUCAAGGUUGAAACCGCGAGUUCAAUUCUCCGUAGUGCUACCA